AUUGAACGCUGGCGGCAUGCCUAACACAUGCAAGUCGAACGGAGGUAGGGGCAACUCUACUUCAGUGGCGGACGGGUGAGGAAUGCGUCGGAAUCUACCCUAUGGUGGGGGGAUAACACAGGGAAACUUGUGCUAAUACCGCAUAAUGUCGAGAGACCAAAGCAGGGGACCGCAAGGCCUUGCGCGAUAGGAUGAGCCGACGCCCGAUUAGCUAGUUGGUAGGGUAAAGGCCUACCAAGGCGACGAUCGGUAGCUGGUCUGAGAGGAUGAUCAGCCACACUGGGACUGAGACACGGCCCAGACUCCUACGGGAGGCAGCAGUGGGGAAUAUUGGACAAUGGGCGCAAGCCUGAUCCAGCAAUGCCGCGUGUGUGAAGAAGGCCUGCGGGUUGUAAAGCACUUUUGUCGGAAGAAAUCAUGCUGGUUAAUACCUGGUAUGGAUGACGGUACCGAAAGAAUAAGCACCGGCUAACUUCG
rnacentral:rRNA from 1 species